rnacentral:rRNA from 1 species
GGCGAACGCUGGCGGCGUGCUUAACACAUGCAAGUCGAACGGUAAGGCCCUUCGGGGUACACGAGUGGCGAACGGGUGAGUAACACGUGGGUGAUCUGCCCUGCACUUCGGGAUAAGCCUGGGAAACUGGGUCUAAUACCGGAUAGGACCACUGCCUGCAUGGGUGGUGGUGGAAAGCGUUUGCGGUGUGGGAUGGGCCCGCGGCCUAUCAGCUUGUUGGUGGGGUGAUGGCCUACCAAGGCGACGACGGGUAGCCGGCCUGAGAGGGUGACCGGCCACACUAGGACUGAGAUACGGCCCAGACUCCUACGGGAGGCAGCAGUGGGGAAUAUUGCACAAUGGGCGCAAGCCUGAUGCAGCGACGCCGCGUGAGGGAUGACGGCCUUCGGGUUGUAAACCUCUUUCAGCACCGACGAAGCGCAAGUGACGGUAGGUGCAGAAGAAGGACCGGCCAACUACGUGCCAGCAGCCGCGGUAA